UAAUACGAAGGGUGCAAGCGUUACUCGGAAUUACUGGGCGUAAAGCGUGCGUAGGUGGUUCGUUAAGUCUGUCGUGAAAUCCCCGGGCUCAACCUGGGAAUGGCGAUGGAUACUGGCGGGCUAGAGUGCGGUAGAGGAGAGUGGAAUUCCCGGUGUAGCAGUGAAAUGCGUAGAGAUCGGGAGGAACAUCAGUUGCGAAGGCGGCUCUCUGGACCAGCACUGACACUGAGGCACGAAAGCGUGGGGAGCAAACAGGAUUAGAUACCCUGGUAGUCCACGCCCUAAACGAUGCGAACUGGACGUUGGAUGCAACUAGGCAUUCAGUGUCGAAGCUAACGCGUUAAGUUCGCCGCCUGGGGAGUACGGUCGCAAGACUGAAACUCAAAGGAAUUGACGG
rnacentral:rRNA from 1 species